AUUGAACGCUGGCGGCAUGCCUUACACAUGCAAGUCGAACGGCAGCACGGGUGCUUGCACCUGGUGGCGAGUGGCGAACGGGUGAGUAAUACAUCGGAACGUACCUUAUCGUGGGGGAUAACGCAGCGAAAGUUGCGCUAAUACCGCAUACGCCCUGAGGGGGAAAGCGGGGGACCGUAAGGCCUCGCGCGAUUAGAGCGGCCGAUGUCUGAUUAGCUUGUUGGUGAGGUAAAAGCUCACCAAGGCGAUGAUCAGUAGCUGGUCUGAGAGGACGAUCAGCCACACUGGGACUGAGACACGGCCCAGACUCCUACGGGAGGCAGCAGUGGGGAAUUUUGGACAAUGGGGGCAACCCUGAUCCAGCAAUGCCGCGUGAGUGAAGAAGGCCUUCGGGUUGUAAAGCUCUUUUGUCAGGGAAGAAACAGCAGCUCUGACACAGUCUGCGAAUGACGGUACCUGAAGAAUAAGCACCGGCUAACUAUGUGCCAGCCGCCGCGGUAA
rnacentral:rRNA from 1 species